rnacentral:rRNA from 1 species
CCCUUAGAUGUCCGGGGCCGCACGCGCGCUACACUGAAGGAAUCAGCGUGGCUUUCUCCCUGACCCGAAAGGGUUGGGAAACCCGUUGAAUCUCCUUCGUGAUAGGGAUUGGGGCUUGAAAUUGUUCCCCAUGAACGAGGAAUUCCCAGUAAGCGCGAGUCAUAAGCUCGCGUUGAUUACGUCCCUGCCCUUUGUACACACCGCCCGUCGCUACUACCGAUUGAACGGUUUAGUGAGGGCCUCGGAUUGAUCUCGGCCCGCUCUUUACCGGGCGGCGCCGUUGGUCGAGAAGACGCUCGAACUUGAUCGUUUAGAGGAAGUAAAAGUCGUAACA